UACGUAGGGGGCAAGCGUUAUCCGGAUUUACUGGGUGUAAAGGGAGCGUAGACGGCAGCGCAAGUCUGGAGUGAAAUGCCGGGGCUCAACCCCGGAACUGCUUUGGAAACUGUGCAGCUAGAGUGCGGGAGAGGUAAGCGGAAUUCCUAGUAUAGCGGUGAAAUGCGUAGAUAUUAGGAGGAACACCAGUGGCGAAGGCGGCUUACUGGACCGUAACUGACGUUGAGGCUCGAAAGCGUGGGGAGCAAACAGG
rnacentral:rRNA from 1 species